CAGCAGCCGCGGUAAUUCCAGCUCCAAUAGCGUAUAUUAAAGUUGUUGCAGUUAAAAAGCUCGUAGUUGAAUUUCGGGGUCAGUAGGUCGGUCGUGCCACUGGUAUGAACUGGUUUUACUGAUUCCUCCCUCUUGAAGAACUAUAAUGUCAUUAAUUUGGUGUUGUAGGGAAUCAGGACUGUUACUUUGAAAAAAUUAGAGUGUUUAAAGCAGGCUUUAGCUUGAAUACAUUAGCAUGGAAUAAUGAAAUAGGACGUUUGAUCCUAUUUUGUUGGUUUCUAGGAUUGACGUAAUGAUUAAUAGGGAUAGUUGGGGGCAUUAGUAUUCAAUUGUCAGAGGUGAAAUUCUUGGAUUUAUUGAAGACUAACUACUGCGAAAGCAUUUGCCAAGGAUGUUUUCAUUAAUCAAGAACGAAAGUUAGGGGAUCGAAGACGAUCAGAUACCGUCGUAGUCUUAACCAUAAACUAUGCCGACUAGGGAUCGGAUGAUGUUAAUUUUUUAAUGACUCAUUCGGCGCCUUACG
rnacentral:rRNA from 1 species